GAAUAAAGGUGCAAAACAAUGAUCAUACUGUGAAACAGAACAUGAAAAUUUACAGUGCAGCAAGCACAGAAUUAAGUAGUCCAGGAACCACAGCGAUCAGGCUUGGCAGUGCCUGAGAGCACUUUUGGUCACUCCUGGACAGUACCGUGGGCUCUCUUUGAAAAAUCAGCCUUCUCUAGCUGAAACAAACCAUUAAGCAGUACUCCAAAAGUCAGGACUAAAGUGCCUGAAGAUGCAUCCAAAACGCGAAGCAUCUCCAAUUCAUUCAAUUCUUCUGAAAAUGCAUGUUUUAGUCCAUAAAAACAAUUGCACUUUCAUAAAUCUGCUGGUAGCUUUGUCUCUGUGUUCUGAAGGAUCUAUACUGAAACAGUUAUCAUUCUGCAUGUCUUUUCAAGGAAAGAUGAAGCCAGCUUCUGUUUAUUCCUGCCAUGGCACAGCUGGAAAUGGGAUAUUUGCCAGGAGCUCAUUCAGUCAAUGUGAGACAGUCGCUAUAGGCGGCAGCUCUAUACCACUGGUUUUCCUUUGCACUUUUUUUUCCUUCAGAAUUUGGCAAGAAAGGUUAUCUAAAAACCAAUCUACAUCUUGAUAAUCUUCAGGCCACCGCAAGUACUGACUCCUUCGUAAGAAGUUUCGAAUUGGUUUGUGUUUCUUCAGUUGAUACUGAGAAAGUGACCCAACCACCACCAUAAUGAGGACGUCCUUCAGAUCACAGAAAUACCUGCUCUGGGCAAAAUUAAAGGCUUCCACACACCACCCAUCUUUGAGAAACUGUCUGGUCACAAUGCAAAUUGUUUUCCUGCUGUUCCAAAUGGCAUCACGAAUAUUGUUGAUAUGUUCUUCCCCAGGCAAGAAAUCUCUGUCCUCAAAACACAAGGUAAAUCUGUUUUUAUCAAAAUACUGUGAAUCCAGAUGCUUUAGCAAAGAAUUCUGGACCCAUUCAAAGUCAUUUUUGCUGUAGCACAGAUAAGCAUCAUAUUUGUAUUCACUUUUAUCUGCUACCCGUGGUUGGUUGUCUAUCAGUCUUUUGGUGAUGGUUUUAUACCAGAUGAAACAAGUCCCCCGGCAGCGAGUAAAAAUGAUGACUGCCACCAGAAACAUGAGACAAAUGACUGAGGAGAUGAUGCAUAGUGAGAAUCUGAGUGUCUGCUGGAGUUCAUCUUCAUCACAGUCAUCGUAUGUCAGAAGUGACAGGGGUACCCCUGCAAAGGCAGUGGGGUACACACAGUACAUGUCAGACUGGGAGCCAGCCAGGGUUACAUUGGUUUCAUUCAGCCACACCAGCAGGCUCUUCAAAGCACAGUCACAGACAUAACUAUUAUGUGUUAUAUCCAGAAUACUCAAAGUCAUAAAGACUUCAGGCUCAGGGGAAAACAGCUGGUUUCCAAAUAAGUUAAGGUUUGUUAGGCUUUGUGGGAAAAGCCCAGGAGAAAGAUGAGACAACUGGUUGGAAGCCAGGUUAAGUAUUUUAAGAGAUGUUAGACCUCUAAAAAUCUCCUGUGGAAGAGCACUAAGAUAGUUGUUAUUCAGAUAUAGAAUCUGAAGUUUGGACAAUGCCCCAAACACAUCCAAACAUAAAUCUCUCUCCCACACCAGCUGUAACAUAUUUUCACCUAGAUCCAUGAAUAUUAACUGACUGUUUUGUAUAACAUUUGCACUUUUCCUACAGUAAGAGAACCGGUUCUGUUUUAAGAAGAUGUACUGCAGAUCUCGAAUUUGGAAAAGAAUAUACAGGUUACCUAGGUCUUCCAACCAAUUUCUUUCUAAAUCAAGGUGUGUUGCAGUUAGUCCUCUGUCAGCUACAGACAUUAGCUUAUUGUCACCUAAAAAGGCAAUGGUCACAUGUGGAAAGGAAGGGAGUCUUUUAAUGGCAUUAUCUCGGAGAUCAAUUAUUUUCAGGUUUACUAAUUGCCUGAAUGCUUGGUUACCAAUUGUCCCGAUGUGAUUUUGCUGUAAAUCAAUAUACAUUACACUACGUAGACCCUCAAAAGUAUAAUCGUACAACUCACCCAAAAGGUUACUUGAGAGAUUGAGAAUUUGUAGGUUGCCCAAGCCAAAAAAUGCUUGCCUUUGGAUUUGAUUGAUCAUGUUUUUGAAAAGGUUCAGUGAUUCCAAAUUACCAAGACUUUGAAAGACUAAAGGAUUGAGAGAGAAAAUGAAACCCUCUGAAAUAUCAAAGACCCUAAGAUUACUUCUUCCCAGUCCUGCAAAAGUAGAAUUAUCUGGAUUUUUUAAGUUACCAAAGCCAUAUCCUGAACCCAUUAUAUGAGGGCUAAAUUGUAAAGAAUUUAUUUGAGUUCCUUUAAUGGCUGUACAGAAAUACUGGACCUUCUCUGUGCUCCAGCCACUGCUACUAAGGUCUAGUGAGUUAAAUGUAAUAUUUUUGAAAGGAUUGGGGCACUUGGCCCAGGCCACAUCUUCUGUCUUGUACAAAUUAUUAGAAUCAAGGUUAAAAAAUGAAAAGUGUUUUCCUUGGAAGCUGGUAAGAUUGGUUUGACAAAAGUUGGAUAUCUUGUUUAAUUUCAGGUUCACACUUUUCAAGGCUGUUAGAUUAUAAAAUAAGGGAUGGGGGUGAAGUUUUGUGAUUUCAUUGUAUGAAAGAUCCAGUUCUUCUAAUGACCUCAAAUCUUGUAAGUAACGUUCUCCCAGGAUGGAAUCUCCAAGGCUGUUGCCAAACAGACGGAGGACAGUCACACUUGGCAAGCCCACAAAAGCAUCAAGAUCCAGUUGAAGAAUCUUAUUGUUUCCCAAGUCUAAGACACGAAGAUUUGGCAGGUUCCUGAACGCUCCUUUUCCUAUGGUAACAGGAAAGACAAGCUGUGCUCCCAUUUCCAACAGCCACAAGUGCUCCAGCAGUGGAAACGAAGUCGCAGUCACUUGUCUGAUAUAGUU
rnacentral:lncRNA from 1 species